GGACCCAUGGCGCAACGGUAGCGCGUCAGAUUCCAGUUACCAAAAUAACAGGAAUUUCCUGAAGGUUAAGCGUUCAAAUCGCUUUGGGUUCA